rnacentral:rRNA from 1 species
AAACCAACAGGGAUUGCCUCAGUAGCGGCGAGUGAAGCGGCAAGAGCUCAGAUUUGAAAUCUCACCUAGUGUGCGAGUUGUAAAUUGCAGGUUGGAGUCUCGGGUUAGACGUGUGUGCAAGUCCCUUGGAACAGGGUGCCACUGAGGGUGAGAGCCCCGUAGCGUGCAUGUCGACACCUGUGAGGCCCUUCUGACGAGUCGAGUUGUUUGGGAAUGCAGCUCUAAGUGGGUGGUAAAUUCCAUCUAAGGCUAAAUAUUGGCGAGAGACCGAUAGCGAACAAGUACUGUGAAGGAAAGAUGAAAAGCACUUUGAAAAGAGAGUGAAACAGCACGUGAAAUUGUUGAAAGGGAAGGGUAUUGGGCUCGACAUGGGAUUUACGCAUCGUUGCCUCUCGUGGGCGGCGCUCUGGGUUUUUCCUGGGCCAGCAUCGGUUUUCGUUGCAGGAUAAGGACAAUUGGAAUGUGGCUCCUCGGAGUGUUAUAGCCUUUUGUAGAUGCUGCGUAUGGGGACCGAGGGCUGCGGCGGACUCGUUUCGUCUCGGAUGCUGGCACAACGGCGCAAUACCGC